rnacentral:rRNA from 1 species
GAACCGUUUAGAAUAAAACGGACGGAACCGUCUGACGCCCUCGGGAAUCAGUCGAACGAGGCGCGACCGCGUUUCGAGUUCCAGAGCGUAAAAGUCUGGCUCGAGCGUCCAGUAGCGUUCGUCAGGCGCAUUUCUCGAGGGUUAGCGUCGCGACCGAUGCGAAAGGCUGGUGAAAUCGUCGAGUUGAGGUCGAAUCCCUUCGCGGGCGUUCGCUACCAGCUCGGCGGUAUUUAAUCGCCGGACCGCAGUAAGCAUCGAGCGUCGAGUAAAGGGACGUUGGCGUAAUCGUGCGCUCGCUCCAACGGCGGAGACUGGGCUGAUUCUUCGACGGCUGCUCGCAGGCGUUNGUUUAAUUCGAGUCCAGUACGAAGUCGUGGGCGACGUACCAACGUGUCCCGGCGUCGGCGACGUCCGAGCCGGUCACCCGUCCGACCCGUCUUGAAACACGGACCAAGGAGUCUAACGUACGCGCGAGCCAAUGGGCGGCAAACCCAUAGGCGCAAUAAAAGUAAAAGNCGUCUUUCGACGGCCGAGGUACGAUCCNGGAGUGCAGACUCCUGGCGCAGUACCGUCCCGUCCUGACCGCACGUCGGUAGGGCGGCGACAGAGUGCCUACGUUGGGACCCGAAAGAUGGUGAACUAUGCCUGAGCAGAGCGAAGCCAGAGGAAACUCUGGUGGAGGUUCGUAGCGGUUCUGACGUGCAAAUCGAUCG